rnacentral:rRNA from 1 species
CAGCAGCCGCGGUAAUACAGAGGGUGCAAGCGUUAAUCGGUAUUACUGGGCGUAAAGGGCGCGUAGGCGGCCAUUCAAGUUAGAUGUGAAAGCCCGGGGCUCAACCUCGGAACUGCCUUCAAUACUGGCGAUCUUGAGUAUGAGAGAGGUGUGUGGAACUCCGAGUGUAGAGGUGAAAUUCGUAGAUAUUCGGAAGAACACCAGUGGCGAAGGCGACACACUGGCUCAUUACUGACGCUGAGGCUCGAAAGCGUGGGGAGCAAACAGGAUUAGAUACCCCGGUAGUCCCUGUCUCUUAUAC